rnacentral:rRNA from 1 species
UAGCCGGCCUGAGAGGGCGACCGGCCACACUGGGACUGAGACACGGCCCAGACUCCUACGGGAGGCAGCAGUGGGGAAUAUUGGGCAAUGGAGGAAACUCUGACCCAGCGACGCCGCGUGCGGGAUGAAGGCCUUCGGGUUGUAAACCGCUUUCAGCAGGGAAGAAGCGAAAGUGACGGUACCUGCAGAAGAAGCACCGGCUAACUAUGUGCCAGCAGCCGCGGUAAUACAUAGGGUGCAAGCGUUGUCCGGAAUUAUUGGGCGUAAAGAGCUCGUAGGUGGUUCGUCACGUCGGAUGUGAAACUCUGGGGCUUAACCCCAGACCUGCAUUCGAUACGGGCGAGCUUGAGUAUGGUAGGGGAGACUGGAAUUCCU